rnacentral:misc_RNA from 1 species
GAUGAAGAACGUAGCAAAAUGCGAUAAGUAAUGUGAAUUGCAGAAUACAGUGAAUCAUCGAAUCUUUGAACGCACAUUGCGCCCGCCAGUAUUCUGGCGGGCAUGCCUGUUCGAGCGUCAUUUCAACCCUCAAGCACAGCUUGGUGUUGGGACUCGCGUUAAUUCGCGUUCCUCAAAUUGAUUGGCGGUCACGUCGAGCUUCCAUAGCGUAGUAGUAAAACCCUCGUUACUGGUAAUCGUCGCGGCCACGCCGUUAAACCCCAACUUCUGAAUGUUGACCUCGGAUCAGGUAGGAAUACCCGCUGAACUUAAGCAUAUCAAUAAGCGGAGGA